rnacentral:lncRNA from 1 species
AGAAAUCUUCAAUCACCAAAGCAUUUCUUUCAGUUUCCGUUGUACCAAGUAAGUCACGGAAAAGUAUCGAAAACAUUUGCGACGAAGAAAACUCGAGAAUAUAUGUAGCAUCGUGCACAUUAAAAGAAGCACUUUCCUCCCGAUGGUUAGCUAGAUCCACUUCUGGUUGACCAAUUCUUUCAAGAAACAAAUGUGUCAUGAGAAUCCUCUCGAAAAACCUAUGAAAAACGUUCCGCGACUAGAUCGUAUUGAAAUAAACUUCGGUAAUACUCCAUGGGUAACGCCAAGCAACCUUCACCUAAGAUCAAAAUCACAGCGGGAACGUUUCUCGUAGAACCCGCAGAAACAAUGCUACUUUGACAUAUGUAUACAUAUCACUGAUUUACGACCUUCGUAAAAUCGGUUAUAUGAUAUGAUAAAUUAUCGUAUAGCCCACAAUCGGAAAUCAUAUGAUAAAUUCUUCAUAACGAAACUAAGUCCUAACAACCAAACGGUUAACGGAAAAUCUAAACUUUUCGAAAAUUGACCAAGUUCAAUACGC